rnacentral:rRNA from 1 species
CGUAUGGAUGGGUAGGAGAGCGUCGUGUGGCCAGCGAAGCGGCGGUGUGAACCAGCCGUGGAGGCCACACGAGUGAGAAUGCAGGCAUGAGUAGCGAAAGACGGGUGAGAAACCCGUCCUCCGAAAGACCAAGGGUUCCAGGGCCAGGCUAAUCCGCCCUGGGUAAGUCGGGACCUAAGGCGAGGCCGACAGGCGUAGUCGAUGGACAACGGGUUGAUAUUCCCGUACCGAUGAAGAACCGCCCAAGACAAUCCAGUAAUGCUAAGUGUCUGAAUCCUUGAUUCGAUCCCUUCGGGGUGACGGUCUUGGCCUAGCACACGACCCUACGCUGGGGCGUUUAGCGUAUUAACAGGUGUGACGCAGGAAGGUAGCUGAGCCGGGCGAUGGUUGUCCCGGUCUAAGGAUGUAGGGCAGAAGAUAGGCAAAUCCGUCUUCUAUGUAGCCUGAGACCCGAUGGGUAGUCCUCACGGACGAAAUCAGUGAUCCUAUGCUGCCGAGAAAAGCAUCGACGCGAGGUUCCAAUCGCCCGUACCCCAAACCGACUCAGGUGGUCAGGUAGAGAAUACUAAGGAGAUCGAGAGAAUCGUGGUUAAGGAACUCGGCAAAAUGCCCCCGUAACUUCGGGAGAAGGGGGGCCUGAGGCGUGUAGGGAUUUACUCCUGAAGCGUUUGAAGGCCGCAGAGACCAGUGGGAAGCGACUGUUUACUAAAAACACAGGUCCGUGCUAAGUCGCAAGACGAUGUAUACGGACUGACGCCUGCCCGGUGCUGGAAGGUUAAGAGGAACGGUUAGCACGCAAGUGCGAAGCUGAGAAUUUAAGCCCCAGUAAACGGCGGUGGUAACUAUAACCAUCCUAAGGUAGCGAAAUUCCUUGUCGGGUAAGUUCCGACCUGCACGAAUGGCGUAACGACUUCCCAGCUGUCUCAACCGCGAACUCGGCGAAAUUGCACUACGAGUAAAGAUGCUCGUUACGCGCAGCAGGACGGAAAGACCCCGUGACCUUUACUACAGCUUGGUAUUGGUGUUCGGUGUGGCUUGUGUAGGAUAGGUGGGAGACUGUGAAGCUCGGACGCUAGUUCGGGUGGAGUCAUUGUUGAAAUACCACUCUGGUCACUCUGGAUAUCUAACUUCGAACCGUAAUCCGGUUCAGGGACAGUGCCUGGUGGGUAGUUUAACUGGGGCGGUUGCCUCCUAAAGAGUAACGGAGGCGCCCAAAGGUUCCCUCAACCUGGUUGGUAAUCAGGUGUCGAGUGUAAGUGCACAAGGGAGCUUGACUGUGAGACUGACAAGUCGAGCAGGGACGAAAGUCGGGACUAGUGAUCCGGCAGUGGCUUGUGGAAGCGCUGUCGCUCAACGGAUAAAAGGUACCUCGGGGAUAACAGGCUGAUCUUGCCCAAGAGUCCAUAUCGACGGCAUGGUUUGGCACCUCGAUGUCGGCUCGUCGCAUCCUGGGGCUGGAGUAGGUCCCAAGGGUUGGGCUGUUCGCCCAUUAAAGCGGUACGCGAGCUGGGUUUAGAACGUCGUGAGACAGUUCGGUCCCUAUCCGCUGCGCGCGUAGGAAAUUUGAGAAGAUCUAUCCCUAGUACGAGAGGACCGGGAUGGACGAACCUCUGGUGUGUCAGUUGUUCCGCCAGGAGCACCGCUGAUUAGCUACGUUCGGAACGGAUAACCGCUGAAAGCAUCUAAGCGGGAAGCCGGCUUC